UACGUAGGGCGCAAGCGUUAUCCGGAAUUAUUGGGCGUAAAGAGCUCGUAGGCGGUUUGUCGCGUCUGCUGUGAAAACUCGGGGCUUAACCCCGGGCCUGCAGUGGGUACGGGCAGACUAGAGUGCGGUAGGGGAGACUGGAAUUCCUGGUGUAGCGGUGAAAUGCGCAGAUAUCAGGAGGAACACCAGUGGCGAAGGCGAGUCCCUGGACACUUCCUGACACUGAGGCACGAAAGCUAGGGGAGCAAACAGG
rnacentral:rRNA from 1 species